AACGAACGCUGGCGGCAGGCUUAACACAUGCAAGUCGGGCGGGGAGAGGUAGCUUGCUACUGAUCUUAGCGGCGGACGGGUGAGUAAUGCUUAGGAAUCUGCCUAUUAGUGGGGACAACAUUUCGAAAGGAAUGCUAAUACCGCAUACGUCCUACGGGAGAAAGCAGGGGAUCUUCGGACCUUGCGCUAAUAGAUGAGCCUAAGUCGGAUUAGCUAGUUGGUGGGGUAAAGGCCUACCAAGGCGACGAUCUGUAGCGGGCCUGGGAGGAUGAUCCGCCACACUGGGACUGAAACACGGCCCAGACUCCUACGGGAGGCAGCAGUGGGGAAUAUUGGACAAUGGGCGCAAGCCUGAUCCAGCCAUACCGCGUGUGUGAAGAAGGCCUUAUGGUUGUAAGGCACUUUAAGCGAGGAGGAGGCUACUUUAGUUAAUACCUAGAGAUAGUGGACGUUACUCGCAGAAUAAGCACCGGCUAACUCUGUGCCAGCAGCCGCAGUAACAC
rnacentral:rRNA from 1 species